rnacentral:rRNA from 1 species
UAACACAUGCAAGUCGAGGGGCAGCAUUUUAUUUUGCUUGCAAACUGAAGAUGGCGACCGGCGCACGGGUGAGUAACACGUAUCCAACCUGCCGAUAACUCCGGAAUAGCCUUUCGAAAGAAAGAUUAAUACCGGAUAGCAUACGAAUAUCGCAUGAUAUUUUUAUUAAAGAAUUUCGGUUAUCGAUGGGGAUGCGUUCCAUUAGUUUGUUGGCGGGGUAACGGCCCACCAAGACAACGAUGGAUAGGGGUUCUGAGAGGAAGGUCCCCCACAUUGGAACUGAGACACGGUCCAAACUCCUACGGGAGGCAGCAGUGAGGAAUAUUGGUCAAUGGGCGAGAGCCUGAACCAGCCAAGUAGCGUGAAGGAUGAAGGCUCUAUGGGUCGUAAACUUCUUUUAUAUGGGAAUAAAGUUUUCCACGUGUGGAAUUUUGUAUGUACCAUAUGAAUAAGGAUCGGCUAACUCCGUGCCAGCAGCCGCGGUAAUACGGAGGAUCCGAGCGUUAUCCGGAUUUAUUGGGUUUAAAGGGAGCGUAGGUGGAUUGUUAAGUCAGUUGUGAAAGUUUGCGGCUCAACCGUAAAAUUGCAGUUGAAACUGGCAGUCUUGAGUACAGUAGAGGUGGGCGGAAUUCGUGGUGUAGCGGUGAAAUGCUUAGAUAUCACGAAGAACUCCGAUUGCGAAGGCAGCUCACUAGACUGUCACUGACACUGAUGCUCGAAAGUGUGGGUAUCAAACAGGAUUAGAUACCCUGGUAGUCCACACAGUAAACGAUGAAUACUCGCUGUUUGCGAUAUACAGUAAGCGGCCAAGCGAAAGCAUUAAGUAUUCCACCUGGGGAGUACGCCGGCAACGGUGAAACUCAAAGGAAUUGACGGGGGCCCGCACAAGCGGAGGAACAUGUGGUUUAAUUCGAUGAUACGCGAGGAACCUUACCCGGGCUUAAAUUGCAACAGAAUAUAUUGGAAACAGUAUAGCCGUAAGGCUGUUGUGAAGGUGCUGCAUGGUUGUCGUCAGCUCGUGCCGUGAGGUGUCGGCUUAAGUGCCAUAACGAGCGCAACCCUUAUCUUUAGUUACUAACAGGUGAUGCUGAGGACUCUAGAGAGACUGCCGUCGUAAGAUGUGAGGAAGGUGGGGAUGACGUCAAAUCAGCACGGCCCUUACGUCCGGGGCUACACACGUGUUACAAUGGGGGGUACAGAAGGCGGCUACCUGGUGACAGGAUGCUAAUCCCAAAAACCUCUCUCAGUUCGGAUCGAAGUCUGCAACCCGACUUCGUGAAGCUGGAUUCGCUAGUAAUCGCGCAUCAGCCAUGGCGCGGUGAAUACGUUCCCGGGCCUUGUACACACCGCCCGUCAAGCCAUGAAAGCCGGGGGUACCUGAAGUACGUAACCGCAAGGAGCGUCCUAGGGUAAAACUGGUAAUUGGGCCUA